rnacentral:rRNA from 1 species
CCCUUAGAUGUCCUGGGCCGCACGCGUGCUACACUGACACGUACAGCGAGUAAACCCAGCUCCGCGAGGUAGCUGGUAAUCAGCAAUACGUGUCGUGAUGGGGAUAGAUCUUUGGAAUUAUUGAUCUUGAACGAGGAAUGCCUAGUAAGCGUAGGUCAUCAGCCUACGUUGAUUACGUCCCUGCCCUUUGUACACACCGCCCGUCGCUCCUACCGAUUUCGAGUGGUCCGGUGAACCUUUCGGACCGAAGAUUCCUUGAGAUGAUUCGGGAAGUCAAGUAAACCACAUCACUUAGAGGAAGGAGAAGUCGUAACA